GGCCGCCAUCUUUACUAGAGGCACCGCGGACGGCUGGGACGCAGGGGGUUUUUCGUGGAGCUUUUGGGGACAGUGGAAAUAGGCUCUGCGACAGAAGUUUUGCUGGGGGUUUCUGUUCCCUUUUUCUAUGGUGGUGGGUUGUUUCGUUUUUGCUCAGGUCCCAGGGAGGUGGUGGGGGUAGGAUUCGAGGGCUCGCGGCUCAGGGCAGAGUGGCCACCCAGGAAGGAGGGGGUCUGACAGGAGGUUUAGGCGGCGCUUCCCGAAAACCGCUGGGUCUGCGUUCUGUCGGCGGGCGCAGGGAGGGUGAUUUGACUCCUCUCCAUUUCUAGAAGCAAAGGGGAGGUUGGCUUCCUGGGCUUUUGCUCGGGCUGGAAGGCAGUUCUGGAAAGCUCCUCCGAAUACGUCAUGGUUGUUGCUCGCGCUGUGCGCGGUCCCGCCUGCAGGGAAUGCGGUUUUUGUUUUUCAGAGCUGUAAAUCCCACAACCGCCUAGGGAACUUUCUCGGCUCCGGAGACAGUGGCCUGCAGGGGCCAAGCGGAGCUUGCUGGACAGACAUGAUAGCAGACGUUGGCUGAAAUUAUUUUGAUCCUGUCAGUUUAGUUGCCAUUUUAGGCGACUCGUGUGUUUGGGUGUGGAUCCCGCUUUCAUCUCUGAUGUUCACCCCCCUCUGAGAAGGGGGGGGGUCCUCAUAUUAUGUUUUACUGUUCCAAAAGUGAUGGUUGUUCAGGGUUACCUUCCGUAUAUAUGAGUGAAAGAAAAAAAAAUAUAUGUGUUUCCUGGGUGAAUUAGAGCUGGAGGAGUGGAAAUAAGCCAUGGUUGUCUUGUUUUCGGGAGAUGAUGUCUGAUGGUUUUAUUUGAGCUGCGUAGGUGCAAAUUCGGUGGAGCGUGGCUAUCCAAAGGUGAAUUCUGGAGCUGCCUUGGUGUGGGUGUUGCUAUGGCCACAGGGAGAGGUAGUGAAUUAUAGGGCCAAUAAACCCAGCGCAGCCAGGCCUCUCCCUUGUGUGAAGCCUUAGUAGUAAUUGACGACCCGGGUUCGUGUAUCCUGGCUUUCGCAGUUCCCUUCCCCGUCCAAGAUUCCUGGAUUGAUCUUUACAGGCACACGUGGGUCUGUAUUGACUCUUUUAUUGACGAAUAUAGACAGGUGCAGCCACAGCUUUGUAUAGGUUUUCUGAUUAAGUGCUGCAUGUGGGAGCGUGGUGUGGUACCAUUUACCAGACAAUUUUAUUUGUAAGUUGUUGCUAGUCUUAGCUAAUGGCACUGAUUUUGAACAUUUAAUCACUGUCUCAUGCGUUUUCCCGUAGGCAAAGCAUCACUUUACCUUAGAGUGCCUCCUGCCUAAAACUAACGCUCCCUUUUACUGUGUCUCAGUAUGAUGCCAGAGCACUGAGUUCAGGGACGUUGCAAAAGACAAUUGCAGCUUUGCAUAAUCUCCGUAUAGCAACCACCACUCGUGCCUCUCUGGAACACCCAGUAAUUCAGUGUUCUUUGGCAGCUGCAGUGCUGGGAGUUGGCCACUUUGCUUGCUGCGGUGAGGUAGAGCAAAGGACUAAAUCUUCUGGAGCCUUGGUUUCUUCUGUAACAUGAAGAGAAUUAAAUCUGUCUUACAGUCCUUGUGAAGAUUGCAGAAGAUGAGAAUGUGCCAGGUCUGUGGAAAUUGUAGAACGACUGACAUAGUGAUAAUCAGUUACUAAAGCAUUUAUUGAGGGCCCAUAACUAUCUGACCUUGUGAGAGGAAGAUUUUCCUUCAGGAUUUUCUGCUUUGUGAGGGGAACAGAUGGACAAACUCAGAUCCAAAAUAAACUUUGAAUGGCUUAGGGUUUUUUUUUUGUUUGUUUUGUUUGUUUUCCCCUUAGGGAAGGCAUAGUAUUAAUAUAGCCUUGUUAGCAUGCAGUGCCAGAUUUGAGGGCCCUUAGGGUGACUAGCUCAUCACAGUUUGCCUUGGUCUUUCCUGGUUUUAGCAUCAAAGGCCCAUGUCCUAGAAAGCCCCUCUGUCCCAGGCAAACUAGGACAUUUGAUCACCCUUGGAUUGUUUUCAGUGCCACAAGAUGGGAGAGUGAACAGAAUGGGAAAUGAAGAUUCCAACUAUAUAGAGGUGGUUAGGUUUCUCUAGGAUCUGUGAGGACACGGGUUACUGAGCACAAGAAAACAGAUGUCCUUGUGUAAGAUAAGUCUGAGCUGACACCUGAAACUUGGCAUGUCCAGAGUCAAACAUAAUUUUAGCUAUUGUUGUUCCUUCUCUCAGUCCCCUCUCAGGGUUUUGCUUUUCAUGUUUUAUGUUUUUAAAGGUUCUUACUCAAUUCCAGUCUUUAUCUCUGGUAAGGGCUCUCCUGAAGUAUUAGUCACUUUUGAGUGCAGAAGUUCUUUUUAACACCAUGGACCCCUUUGCCAGUCUGAUGAAGCCUAAUUCUACUGUGGUUCAUUGCCAUGUUCAUAAUUGAAAGCAUGCUACAUUUCACGUAGAAGUUAGUGAAAAUAGUUGUUCUACUUUUCCAUCUAAGUUCGUGGACCUAAACUGCCUCCAUAUAGACCAGAUUCAGAAGCUCACUCCUCCGUUGCCCUGUUGUAGUACUCUUUCCACCCUGAACUUUUUUUUUUUUUUUUUUUUUGCCUUUUAGGGCCACAUUCUCGGCACAUAGGGGUUCCAAGGCUAGAGGUCCAAUCGGAGCCACCAGCCUACGCCUCAGCCACAGCAACAUCAGAUCUGAGCCAAGUCUGCAACCUACACCACAGCUCACAGCAAUGCCAGAUCCUCAACCCACUGAGUGAGGCCAGGGACCAAACCUGCAACCUAAUGGUUCCUAGUCAGAUUUCUUUCCACUGCGCCGCAAUUGGAAUUCCCCACUCUAAACUUUUUUAUGUUCUUUCACCAUUAUAUGCCACCACCAUAGUUCAAGACACUGAGACUGUUAUCCUAACUAUUGCAAAAGUUGUUCUGCCUUAUGCCCAUCUGGUGGAGUAGUUUUUCCAAAGCACACAAGUAUAUAUAAUAUAUAUAAUUUCCCUCUUCAGACUUCCCAUGGCUUCCUAUGGUCUCUAGGAUUAAGUCCAGAUUCCUUAGGAAUUCCUUCAGGCCCCUCCAUAAUAUGGCCUUUCAGUCCUAAUAACCUGCUAUCCUUUGCAUCUCCUAAAUUUCAGCCGCAUGAGCUGUUUAACGUGGAAGUACCUGAGCCAGGGACACAGCAGCGAUUAUGGCUACUGCAGUGACAAUGCUGGAUCCCUAACCCAGUGUGCCACAAGGGAACACCUCCAUCUCUUAUUCACAUUGCUCUCUAGGCCUAGAUUUCUGAUUUCCAUCAUCUCUGCAAAAUAAAGCUCUAACAUCCUUAAAAACUUAGCUCAAGUGCAAAGUCAGCUAUGAUAACCUCUUCCUCCACUGGGCUCCUCAGUGCUUUAUUUCACCCUUUUCUGUUACCACAUUCUACUUUUAUUAUGAGUAUUUGAUUAUUCAUUCCAUAAAUGUUUGUCAAGUAUGUAUUUGUUGUGACUGUGGCCCUGUAUUUAGGGUCCAUGGGGAUAUGAAAUAAAACUGAUUUGGACCUUGGUUUUUAAAGGAGUUAUAUUUUGGGUUGGGAGAUAAUAUGCACAUUUUUUUCAAAGUAGAAGAAAACAAGUAUUUCCAAAGCCCAGAGGGAAAACUGAUUUUGCUAAAGUGAUCAGAGAAAGCUUUGUGGAGGAGGUGGCAUUGAGCUAGCUUAGAGGAUCAGUGACUUAUAUGGAUGUGCAUAGGGAAGGCAUUCCACACAGAGGGAAUACCAGGAACAAAGCAACCAAGCUGAAAGGAGCAGGAUAUGUUGGGGAAGGGGAAGACGUUUAGUUUGUUAUUAAGGGGCCUCAUGGGAGACAGACUGCUGGCAGAUUGGUUAAGGCUAGAUAGGCAAUACCCACAUAUUCCAGACCAGAAGAUAAGACUAUCCUGCAUGCAUGGAAUCCACUGAAGAGUUUUGACAAGAGACUGACAAAAUCAAAGAAAGACUGAUAAAGAGGAACCCUGUCAUCUGGAACCUGAGAUCCAUGCAUGUGUGUAAAAUUUGUAUGUUUAAAAGGUACAGAGAGGGAACAAAAGCUGUCAUUUGAGUAUUUCUUCUCUAUGUGAAUAAUGAAUGAUGGUAUAACUGAAUACCAAACAAAAUUUAGAGUCGUCUACAACUCCUUACCUCUACUUAGAAACUUGUUGCAAUGAUUAUCAUUUCAGUAAGACAAGGCAGUUGAGAUUUCCCAAAAGGAUGCUAUUUCAAAUAGCCUUUCAGAAUCCAGUAUGAUAGAUUUCUUUGUUGCUGGAAUUUCAAUGGUAAAGUGAUCUGAUUACAACAUAAAGAAUCUUCUACCUAUAAAAAAGAUCUGUAGAUGGUGCAAGUAUCUUCAGUAUCAGUGAACAUCAUUGAGGGCAGAGCACUCUGCAAUAGCUCAUACAUAGCUCUACCCUUUCCAUUCUCAUAGCUAAGCCUUAACCCACAUGCAGGCAGGGACCGUGUUUUCAUGUAUGCUUUUUUUGUUGUUAUACUGAGGCUUGCUUAUGCCCUUAAACUACCUAAUCUGGCAUGUAAUAGUUGCUAAAUAAAUAUGUUACAUAUCUGAAUCAACAACUAUUAAAAUAGUUGAAGAGGAAAAAAAGUUGAAGGAAAGCUAUUUUUUAAUGUAGCUUUUAAAGUGGAAAAUAGGAGUUCCCGUCGUGGCGCAGUGGUUAACGAAUCCGACUAGGAACCAUGAGGUUGCAGGUUCGGUCCCUGCCCUUGCUCAGUGGGUUAACGAUCCGGCGUUGCCGUGAGCUGUGGUGUAGGUUGCAGACGCGGCUCGGAUCCUGCGUUGCUGUGGCUCUGGUGUAGGCUGGCAGCUAUAGCUCCAAUUAGACCCCCAGCCUGGGAACCUCCAUAUGCCACGAGAGCAGCCCAAGAAAUGGCAAAAAAAAUAAAUAAAUAAAGUGGAAAAUAUUAAUACGUUCUUUUAAAACACCUUUACUAUGUGAUUUUUGAUACAUAUAAAAUACUAUGCAUAGUAAAUGUAAAUUAUUAAGCAUAACAUUAAAAUAAGCCCUAAUGGAACUCACCACCUAUUAGAAAGUUAUCAGUACUUGGAGUUCCCUUCAUGGCUCAGUGGUUGAUGAACCCAACCAGGAUCCAUGAGGACUCUGGUUUGAUCCCUGGCCUUGCUGAGUAGGUUAAAGGAUCCGACGUUGCUGUGAGCUGUGGCAUAGGUGGCAGAUGCAGCUCAGGUCCUAUGUUGUGGCUGUGGCUGUGGCUGUGGUGUAGGCCAGCAACUGUAGCUCUGAUUUGACCCCUAGCCUGGGAACCUCCAUAUGUUGCGAGUGCAGCCUUAAAA
rnacentral:lncRNA from 1 species